rnacentral:rRNA from 1 species
UGAGGAAUAUUGGUCAAUGGGCGAGAGCCUGAACCAGCCAAGUCGCGUGAAGGACGACGGUUCUAUGGAUUGUAAACUUCUUUUGUAGAGGAAUAACGGCAGCUACGUGUAGCUGAGAUGCAUGUACUCUACGAAUAAGUAUCGGCUAACUCCGUGCCAGCAGCCGCGGUAAUACGGAGGAUACGAGCGUUAUCCGGAAUUAUUGGGUUUAAAGGGUGCGUAGGUGGCGUAUUAAGUCAGUGGUGAAAAGCUGCAGCUCAACUGUAGUCUUGCCGUUGAAACUGAUAUGCUAGAGAGGAGACGAGGUAUGCGGAAUGUGUGGUGUAGCGGUGAAAUGCAUAGAUAUCACACAGAACGCCGAUUGCGAAGGCAGCGUACCAGGCUCCGUCUGACACUGAGGCACGAAAGCGUGGGGAUCAAACAGGAUUAGAUACCCUGGUAGUCCACGCAGUAAACGAUGAAUACUAGAUUUUUGCGAUAUACUGUAAGAGUCUAAGCGAAAGCGAUAAGUAUUCCACCUGGGGAGUACGCCGGCAACGGUG